UUGUGACGGAUUUAGAGAAAGAGCAGUUCAUUGCUAAACUCUAGGAGGUUGAGGAUUGAUUAUACGAGGAUGGUGAGGAUGAAACAAAAGGAGUCUAUAUAGCGAAGCUAAAGGAGCUCCAGAAGGUCUUGCAGGCCGAUAAUGACAAAAUCGAUGCCAGUAAAGCCUACUACUCCAAAAACACCCUCGCCAGCUCCCUCUCGAGGAGGUCACAAUCUCAAGGUGCAGAGAACCCGAAUUCAAGUCCCAACCGAAACUGGUGCAAUUGAGACUACUAGAUCCGGAAAUGAAGUACCAUCAACUACAACAGAGCCCAUGGAAAGCGAAGUCUGAGAGUGCACCAGGUGUUGCUUAGUAAAUUGGGGAUUCAAUGUUUUAUGUCUAUAUUAUUUGGGUUCUUUUCUAUGAGAAAGCAAUCCCGACUUGCAACUCUUUUUGAUGGUCUAUAGUGAUCGUAAAAUGUUUUUUA